GGAUCGAUGAUGACUCCUCUAAAGCAUUCCUUGGAAAUCUGAACAAAAUGAGUGAGAAUCACUACCGUCUCCUCAUCGAAACUGAGGUCC
rnacentral:snoRNA from 1 species